UGCAAGUCGAGCGAACAGAGAAGGAGCUUGCUCCUUCGACGUUAGCGGCGGACGGGUGAGUAACACGUGGGCAACCUACCUUAUAGUUUGGGAUAACUCCGGGAAACCGGGGCUAAUACCGAAUAAUCUGUUUCACCUCAUGGUGAAACACUGAAAGACGGUUUCGGCUGUCGCUAUAGGAUGGGCCCGCGGCGCAUUAGCUAGUUGGUGAGGUAACGGCUCACCAAGGCGACGAUGCGUAGCCGACCUGAGAGGGUGAUCGGCCACACUGGGACUGAGACACGGCCCAGACUCCUACGGGAGGCAGCAGUAGGGAAUCUUCCACAAUGGGCGAAAGCCUGAUGGAGCAACGCCGCGUGAGUGAAGAAGGAUUUCGGUUCGUAAAACUCUGUUGUAAGGGAAGAACAAGUACAGUAGUAACUGGCUGUACCUUGACGGUACCUUAUUAGAAAGCCACGGCUAACUACGUGCCAGCAGCCGCGGUAAUACGUAGGUGGCAAGCGUUGUCCGGAAUUAUUGGGCGUAAAGCGCGCGCAGGUGGUUUCUUAAGUCUGAUGUGAAAGCCCACGGCUCAACCGUGGAGGGUCAUUGGAAACUGGGAGACUUGAGUGCAGAAGAGGAUAGUGGAAUUCCAAGUGUAGCGGUGAAAUGCGUAGAGAUUUGGAGGAACACCAGUGGCGAAGGCGACUAUCUGGUCUGUAACUGACACUGAGGCGCGAAAGCGUGGGGA
rnacentral:rRNA from 1 species